rnacentral:rRNA from 1 species
GAUGAACGCUGGCGGCGUGCCUAAUACAUGCAAGUCGAGCGAACAGACGAGUAGCUUGCUCCUCUGACCUUAGCGGCGGAUGGCUGAGUAACACGUUGAUACCCUACCUAUAAUACUGGCAUAACUUCGGGAAAACGGACCUAAUACCGCAUAAUAUAUUGAACCGCAUGGUUCAAUAGUGAAAGACGUGUUUGCUGUCACUUAUACAUGGAUCCGCGCCGCAUUAGCUAGUUGGUAAGGUAACGGCUUACCAAGGCAACGAUGCGUAGACGACCUGGGAGGCGGAUCGCCCGCCCUGGAACUGGGCCACGGUCCAGGCUCCUACGGGAGGCAGCAGAAGGGAAUCUUACGCAAUGGGCGAAAGCCUUACGGAGCAACGCGGCGUGAGUGAUGACGGUCUUCGGAUCGUAAAACUCUGUUAUUAGUGAAGAACAAAUGUGUAAGUAACUGUGCACGUAUUGACGGUACCUAAUCAGAAAGCCACGGCUAACUACGUG